GUUUCCAUGGCAACUCUGACAUCACCAGGCUCAGCGUCUGCAUGGCCAGGCCCUGAAUGGAGACGCCUGGGAGUUCACGCUGCAGCCCCAGGGAGGAGGGCGGCCUGCUGGAGUGGGCCUUCCCCGGUCCCAGGCCCCAUGCAGAUCCGGGUUCAAAGCCCAGCCCUGCCCCUGACUUGCCAGGUGACUCUGAGGAAAUCAGGGGCCUGAGACUCAGUCUCCUCAUCUAUGAAAUAGAGCUAACAGUAUCUCCUCUGCAGUGAGGGUGAAACGAAAUCGUGGAUGAUAGACAGGCUGAUAACUGGAGGAGGCGGUGUGUGUAGCUGGAGAACUUUGCUCUUUUGCUGUCAGUGUCCCACCUCAGCUCUCACCUCCCUGUCACAUUGUUCCACCUUGCUGUCAGCCAUCAGUCACCGGAGAGUUUUGGGCUCCUCUGACUUCAAAGGAUGCAGCUGCCCGGAGGGAAAAGAUGUAGCUUUCUUUUUGGGUUCAGACACCUUGCUAAUUGCUGGGAGGUGGGAAAGUGAGGGCAGAAGAAAGGAUCUUCCACCGGAGCAAGAGUUAAGGAAACCAAGGAGCCUGGCACUGCCCAUCGGCCGAGCUGGGCCUAUUCUUGCCCCUGUUCUGAAGCUUUUAGGCCUGAGCCAACAAGCGGCUGCUUCAGGAUAAAUUAAGACCUUCAUUAUAAGACUCUUGGGCUGCAAUCUCUCUCAGACCUCUGGAUACCUGAGAAACCCUUCUCCCCUGCUUGGGAAAAUACCAUUACAUCUUCCAGGAGAAGCUCAUUUAGCUGUUUUCAUGCUCUCACCCUUCAGAAGGCACCUACCGGUAGCAUCCCAGAAGGUUUUAAGCAAGUCCACCGAUGAUAGAGCCCCGGACCAUCAAAAGUUUGACUGUGGGGCACUGUUUACAAUAGCCAAGACGUGGAAGCAACCUAAGUGUCCAGCAACAGACGAAUGGAUAAAGAAGAUGUGGUACAUAUAUACAAUGGAAUACUACUCAGCUCUAAAACAGAACAAAAUCAUUCCAUUUGCAAUAACAUGGAUGGACCUUGAGAGAAUUAUGUUGAGUGAAAUAAGCCAGCGAGAGAAGGAUAAUCUGUGUAUGACUCCACUCAUAUGAGGAAUUUAAAAUUAUGGACUAAGAACAGUUUAGUGGAUGCCAGGGGAG
rnacentral:lncRNA from 1 species